AGAGUUUGAUUAUGGCUCAGAACGUACGCUGGCGGCACGCCUAACACAUGCAAGUCGAACGAAGUAGCAAUACUUAGUGGCAGACGGGUGAGUAACAUGUAGGUAUCUGCCCUUUGGCCUGGAAUAACACGAGGAAACUUGUGCUAAUACCGGAUAAGUCUUUACGGAGAAAGCUUUAUGCACCAUUGGAUGAGCCUGCACUUGAUUAGUUUGUUGGUGGGGUAAUGGCCUACCAAGACUGUGAUCAAUAGCUGAUUUGAGAGGAUGAUCAGCCACAUUGGGACUGAGACACGGCCCAAACUCCUACGGGAGGCAGCAGUGGGGAAUCUUGCACAAUGGAGGAAACUCUGAUGCAGCGAUGCCGCGUGAGUGAAGAAGGCCUUUGGGUUGUAAAGCUCUUUCGUCGGGGAAGAAAAUGACUGUACCCGAAUAAGAAGGUCCGGCUAACUUCGUGCCAGCCGCCGCGGUAAUUC
rnacentral:rRNA from 1 species